GACAAAGGAAGGAAAGACAGACAACUCUCAUUGGUCGUUUAAAACGUUGCUGGUGGCGCCUCGAUGGGCAGUAGAUAGAACUAUUUGUUUGAAAUAGCUAUAUAGUAGAAAAGGAUGAAACAUGUUUUCGUUUCGGCAUAACAUAACAUAACCUAAGUUUUUACGCGCUUUUAGUUGUAUUUUCAGCAGUGGUAAGUCAUGUUGUCCUCAUAGUUUUGUAAUGUUUUUUAAUAAAUUCAACAUUUGUUGUGUUUUAAAUGCAUCAUACGUGGAUUUGUUCUCUGCAGUGAAUACAUAAUUUCUGCAUCAGUUAUAUCAACAAGUUUUAUUCAUUUAUUAUUGGAUUAUAAAGGCAAACAUCUUUCUUUGGGUUGAGGCACACAUUCUUUGUAACAUUUUAAUUCAAAUAUGAAUUUUUUAGUGCAAUCGUGGAGUCUAGAAGUGGAUAGGGACUGGAUACAAGAUACAACUUCCGUCAGUGAAAGAUUACGUGAAUCAGAUGGCUUAUGCUGAAGUUCUGCCAAUGAAUCGAAGAAUACAAUUAAUUAUGUGUAGUCUUCACACUGGAUGUUCUUUUCUUCAAUAAUUUGGUUAUACAAAACAAUAUUUGAUCUGACAUUACUAAAUUAUUUCAUUACUUUUUGUUUGAAAAAAAUCAAUAUGUAUUUAAUUAAUAUAAUGUUUAAUAAAAAGUAUUUUAAUA